rnacentral:rRNA from 1 species
UACGGGGGGGGGCAAGCGUUGUUCGGAAUUACUGGGCGUAAAGGGCUCGUAGGCGGCCAACUAAGUCAGACGUGAAAUCCCUCGGCUUAACCGGGGAACUGCGUCUGAUACUGGAUGGCUUGAGUUUGGGAGAGGGAUGCGGAAUUCCAGGUGUAGCGGUGAAAUGCGUAGAUAUCUGGAGGAACACCGGUGGCGAAGGCAGGUCUCUGGGCUGACACUGACGCUCAUGCACGAAAGCGUGGGGAGCAAACAGG